rnacentral:rRNA from 1 species
UCGAACGCGAAAGGGGCUUCGGCCCUGAGUAGAGUGGCAAACGGGUGAGUAACACGUGGGUGACCUGCCUUCGAGUGGGGGAUAACGUCCCGAAAGGGACGCUAAUACCGCAUGACAUCCUGCUCUUGGACGAGCGGAAAUCAAAGCUGGGGAUCGCAAGACCUGGCGCUUGAAGAGGGGCCCGCGCCUGAUUAGCUAGUUGGUGAGGUAAUGGCUCACCAAGGCAACGAUCAGUAUCCGGCCUGAGAGGGCGGACGGACACACUGGGACUGAGACACGGCCCAGACUCCUACGGGAGGCAGCAGUGGGGAAUUGUUCGCAAUGGGCGCAAGCCUGACGACGCAACGCCGCGUGGAGGACGAAGAUCUUCGGGUCGUAAACUCCUGUCGAGCGGGACGAACACCCAUCCGGUGAAUAUCCGGAAGGGCUGACGGUACCGCUAAAGGAAGCCCCGGCUAACUCCGUGCCAGCAGCCGCGGUAAUACGGGGGGGGCAAGCGUUG